rnacentral:rRNA from 1 species
CCUACGGGAGGCAGCAGUGGGGAAUAUUGGACAAUGGGCGAAAGCCUGAUCCAGCAAUGCCGCGUGAGUGAUGAAGGCCUUAGGGUCGUAAAGCUCUUUUACCAGGGAUGAUAAUGACAGUACCUGGAGAAUAAGCUCCGGCUAACUCCGUGCCAGCAGCCGCGGUAAUACGGAGGGAGCUAGCGUUGUUCGGAAUUACUGGGCGUAAAGCGUGCGUAGGCGGUUAUUCAAGUCAGAGGUGAAAGCCCGGGGCUCAACCCCGGAACGGCCUUUGAAACUAGAUAACUAGAAUCUUGGAGAGGUCAGUGGAAUUCCGAGUGUAGAGGUGAAAUUCGUAGAUAUUCGGAAGAACACCAGUGGCGAAGGCGACUGACUGGACAAGUAUUGACGCUGAGGUACGAAAGCGUGGGGAGCAAACAGGAUUAGAUACCCUGGUAGUCCACGCCGUAAACGAUGAUAACUAGCUGUCCGGACACUUGGUGUUUGGGUGGCGCAGCUAACGCAUUAAGUUAUCCGCCUGGGGAGUCGGUCGCAAGNUUAAAACUCAAAGANAAUCGCGNGNGAGNGCGACGACGACGACGAGAGGAG